UCCCCGUUCUCCUGGGCAGUCUCCACAGAGUCCUCGGCUUGACCCGUUAGUAACUGUGAACAAGGGUUGCGCUCGUUGCGGGACUUAACCCAACAUCUCACGACACGAGCUGACGACAGCCAUGCAGCACCUGUGUAACCGUCUGUAUUACUACAGAACCCAGUGUUUCCACCAGUAGCAGUUACAUGUCAAGCCUAGGUAAGGUUCCUCGCGUAGUGUCGAAUUAAACCACAUGUUCCACCGCUUGUGCGGGCCCCCGUCAAUUUCUUUGAGUUUUAAUCUUGCGACCGUACUUCCCAGGCGGAUCACUUAACGCGUUAGCUUCGACACUGAUCAGGCGAACCCGACCAACAUCUAGUGAUCAUCGUUUACAGCGUGGACUAC
rnacentral:misc_RNA from 1 species